rnacentral:rRNA from 1 species
AGAGUUUGAUCCUGGCUCAGGAUGAACGCUGGCGGCGUGCCUAACACAUGCAAGUCGAACGAAGCACCUUACCUGAUUCUUCGGAUGAAGGUCUGGUGACUGAGUGGCGGACGGGUGAGUAACGCGUGGGUAACCUGCCCUGUACAGGGGGAUAACAGUUGGGAACGGCUGCUAAUACCGCAUAAGCGCACGAGAGGACAUCCUCUCGUGUGAAAAACUCCGGUGGUACAGGAUGGGCCCGCGUCUGAUUAGCUGGUUGGCAGGGUAACGGCCUACCAAGGCGACGAUCAGUAGCCGGUCUGAGAGGAUGAACGGCCUCAUUGGAACUGAGACACGGUCCAAACUCCUACGGGAGGCAGCAGUGGGGAAUAUUGCACAAUGGGGGAAACCCUGAUGCAGCAACGCCGCGUGAGUGAAGAAGUAUUUCGGUAUGUAAAGCUCUAUCAGCAGGGAAGAAAAUGACGGUACCUGACUAAGAAGCACCGGCUAAAUACGUGCCAGCAGCCGCGGUAAUACGUAUGGUGCAAGCGUUAUCCGGAUUUACUGGGUGUAAAGGGAGCGUAGACGGCUGUGUAAGUCUGAAGUGAAAGCCCGGGGCUCAACCCCGGGACUGCUUUGGAAACUAUGCAGCUAGAGUGUCGGAGAGGUAAGUGGAAUUCCCAGUGUAGCGGUGAAAUGCGUAGAUAUUGGGAGGAACACCAGUGGCGAAGGCGGCUUACUGGACGAUGACUGACGUUGAGGCUCGAAAGCGUGGGGAGCAAACAGGAUUAGAUACCCUGGUAGUCCACGCUGUAAACGAUGAUUACUAGGUGUGGGGGGUCUGACCCCUUCCGUGCCGGAGUUAACACAAUAAGUAAUCCACCUGGGGAGUACGACCGCAAGGUUGAAACUCAAAGGAAUUGACGGGGGCCCGCACAAGCAGUGGAGUAUGUGGUUUAAUUCGAAGCAACGCGAAGAACCUUACCAGGUCUUGACAUCGAGUGACGAAUCUAGAGAUAGAUUUUUCCUUCGGGACACAAAGACAGGUGGUGCAUGGUUGUCGUCAGCUCGUGUCGUGAGAUGUUGGGUUAAGUCCCGCAACGAGCGCAACCCUUGCUAUUAGUUGCUACGCAAGAGCACUCUAAUAGGACUGCCGUUGACAAAACGGAGGAAGGUGGGGACGACGUCAAAUCAUCAUGCCCCUUAUGACCUGGGCUACACACGUACUACAAUGGAUGUAAACAGAGGGAAGCAAAAUAGCGAUAUGGAGCAAACCCCAAAAAGCAUUCUCAGUUCAGAUUGCAGGCUGCAACUCGCCUGUAUGAAGUUGGAAUUGCUAGUAAUCGCGGAUCAGCAUGCCGCGGUGAAUACGUUCCCGGGCCUUGUACUCACCGCCCGUCA